GCGUGGUUUGUCUGCGGCUGCGCGGUAGGCGGCAUCCACUGCAAGCGGCGUCUCUGGAACAUUCAGUUCCACAUGCUGGACGCGCUUCAUUGUUAGCCUAGCUUAGCCUAGCCUAGCCUAGCCUAGCCUAGCCUAGCCUAGCCUGGCGCCCACCACGCUCCCUGUAACUGCACUAGCCGGCUCGGUGAGUUUCUGGCUGGGCUUUCUCUCGCUUUCACUGUACCGACGUGUUCAUCGGACGUGUCUUUCUUUUCGUGCUUUAACUCGUGCUUUUUUUGUAAGAUCAGAUUCCCUGUUUAUAAAAACCUUUCGGUUUUCCCGGGUAGCACAGUUAGCGGGCUAGCACUCUGAAGUUUGAGGAAACUGAAACUGACCCUGGAGGCUGCUCGGACGUUGUGACUUGUGUUUGGCGGCUCGCCUGCGUGUGUGCCUUUUUUCUUUUAUUUUUGUUUUUGCACUCGCCACGAUGGCUUCUUCCUCGGGAAACGACGACGACCUAACCAUCCCGAGAGCGGCUAUCAACAAGAUGAUCAAGGAAACCCUCCCCAAUGUGCGGGUGGCCAACGACGCCCGGGAGCUGGUGGUCAACUGCUGCACGGAGUUCAUCCAUCUGGUGUCGUCGGAAGCCAACGAGAUCUGUAACAAGUCCGACAAGAAGACCAUCUCCCCGGAGCAUGUCAUCAGUGCGCUCGAGAGCCUUGGUUUUGGAUCGUACAUCGCCAACGUGAAAGAAGUUGUGCAGGAGUGUAAAACCGUGGCACUGAAGAGAAGGAAGGCCAACUCUCGACUGGAGAACCUGGGAAUCCCGGAGGAGGAGCUUCUCAGACAGCAGCAGGAACUGUUUGCCAAGGCGCGGCAGCAGCAGGCGGAGCUGGCUCAGCAGGAGUGGCUGCAGAUGCAGCAGGCCACCACUCAGUCCGUGGACAUGGCGGUGGCGUCCACCAGCGCCUCCCAGCAGUCCUGCACCUCUCAGGACGACGACGACGAUGACGACGACGACGACGAUGAAGACGACAUGUGAACCCCUGGACCCCCUGCGUCUGUCUGAACCCCUUUCGGCGUGUCAAAUUCCUGGCGGCGGCGGCGGCGGCGUCCCAGGCAGACACGGGACACGUUUGACAGCCGCUGGCAGACACCAGUGCGGCGUUUUCAGGCGCACGUAUGGAAGAGACAGUAAUGAGGUAGACGUGGGAGGGAGGGGGUGAAGAUCAGCCUGAUUUUACUUGGAUUUCUCCUUGAAUGUUCCAGUAUGUGGUUGUGAUUUGUAGAUUUCUGGACGCAUCACGGAUCCCACUGGAAGCAGGUGCUGUCUGACGCGACCACGACUUCUUCUCUUGUUUUCCAUUCCUCCCAUGUUUUGGCUCCUUCAGUUACUGCACCACAUAGGUUAUUGUUGUCACUGUGUGUGUGUGUGCGCGUGUGUGUGUGUGUGUGUGUGCGUGUGUGCGCGUGUGUGUGUGCGGCCCUGUCGUGGCGUGCUGAGCGGUCAGGUGGACCCCGCCCUCGCCCACAUGACGCCCCAGCACCCUGCCGCCCUCAGACAGACCAGCAGGUUUAGAAAAUGGACGAGCGAAGUUUUAUUCCACAGAAAACUGAAGUCCCUUUAAGCCCCUCUGUAUAGAAACUUCCCUUCUGCCUUCCUGUCUACUCUGAACCACCCACAGUAUUUGGCAAUUAGCUACACGUUGAAAAUAACUUCAUUUUGCCUCAUGCAACCAAAGAUGGAAAGCAGCCGGGAUUGUUGGUUGUUUUUGUUUUUCUUCUUUUUAAUGAAGGUUUGGGUAUUGUCAUUGCUGGCUCCAGACGUAAUGAAAUAGGAUUAUUGUGACUCCACCCCCUCCUCAGAUUGCACUCAAUCCCAAGUAAACUACUGCUGUUUUUUAAGAAAGCAUCAAACUGUAGCUGUGGCUCCAUCUAGUGGACACUGUGGAGAGCUACAGCUACCAGUCAACGUGAACGGAUGAAGAUGUUAUCCUCCUCCAUCAUGAUCCCAGGGUCAGGGAGCAGGUGGUCACGGGGAGCAGGUUCAGGAUCUGUUGGUGGCAGAGUAAAACUGCAGGUUUUUUAAGACACUCCAAGCCUGGGAUCCAUGCAUUGUCCGUACUUGUUUCUCUCACAUAUGUUCUAAAUGGAGCUGUGUUCUGCAGCUGUCUAAUUGUUAUCAAUAAAUUUAUCCGUUUAAAUUUGACCUUGAACACUAAGAACGAAGUCAUUUGACCUUCCUGUCAAUCAACAACAAAUGUAAUGUCCUGGACUGAACCGGGUGACCAACAGCAAUACAGUUACGUUGUUUUUAUCCCCCCUUCAAAAAACGUAUUUAUACGCUUCCUUUCUUCAUGUCGUCUGUUGUGGACUGCAGGCAGAGAGGACCUUCACCGAGGCGCUUGG